rnacentral:rRNA from 1 species
UCCUGACUGACCGAUAGUGAACCAGUACCGUGAGGGAAAGGCGAAAAGAACCCCGGCGAGGGGAGUGAAAAAGAACCUGAAACCGUGUACGUACAAGCAGUGGGAGCACGCUUAGGCGUGUGACUGCGUACCUUUUGUAUAAUGGGUCAGCGACUUAUAUUCUGUAGCAAGGUUAACCGAAUAGGGGAGCCGAAGGGAAACCGAGUCUUAACUGGGCGUUAAGUUGCAGGGUAUAGACCCGAAACCCGGUGAUCUAGCCAUGGGCAGGUUGAAGGUUGGGUAACACUAACUGGAGGACCGAACCGACUAAUGUUGAAAAAUUAGCGGAUGACUUGUGGCUGGGGGUGAAAGGCCAAUCAAACCGGGAGAUAGCUGGUUCUCCCCGAAAGCUAUUUAGGUAGCGCCUCGUGAAUUCAUCUCCGGGGGUAGAGCACUGUUUCGGCAAGGGGGUCAUCCCGACUUACCAACCCGAUGCAAACUGCGAA